GUUUACGUAGCUCAGACAGGUAGAGUACUGGUCUGAUAAACCGGAGGUCAAUGGUUCGAUUCCAUUCGUAAACACCA
rnacentral:tRNA from 1 species